rnacentral:rRNA from 1 species
UACGAAGGGGGCUAGCGUUGUUCGGAAUUACUGGGCGUAAAGGGCGCGUAGGCUGUGCUGUAAGUCAGGCGUGAAAUCCCCCGGGCUCAACCUGGGAAUUGCGUUUGAUACUGCGGCGCUGGAAUGCAGGAGAGGAUGGCGGAAUUCCCAGUGUAGAGGUGAAAUUCGUAGAUAUUGGGAAGAACACCGGUGGCGAAGGCGCAUCUGGCCUGUAAUUGACGCUGAGGCGCGAAAGCGUGGGGAGCAAACAGGG